GACGAACGCUGGCGGCGUGCCUAAUACAUGCAAGUCGAGCGAAGCGGCGGAUGGGGGGAUAACGCGUGGGUAACCGGCCCUUAAGCCUGGGAUACCAUUUGGAAACAGAUGCUAAUACCGGAUACUAAAGGAUGGACCUGGGAUGCAUUAGCUAUUGGGGAAGGUAACGGCUUACCAAGGCGAUGAUGCAUAGCCGGGUUGAGAGACUGAUCGGCCACAUUGGGACUGAGACACGGCCCAAACUCCUACGGGAGGCAGCAGUAGGGAAUCUUCCACAAUGGACGAAAGCCUGAUGGAGCAAUGCCGCGUGUGUGAAGAAGGUUUUCGGGUCGUAAAGCUCUGUUGUUGGUGAAGCGGUAAUCACCCAGAAAGUCACGGCUAACUACGUGCCAGCCGCCGCGGUAAUUC
rnacentral:rRNA from 1 species